rnacentral:misc_RNA from 1 species
GGUUUAAUUACCCAACUUUGAG